CAGUAGCCGCGGUAAUACGAAGGGUGCAAGCGUUAAUCGGAAUUACUGGGCGUAAAGCGUGCGUAGGCGGUGAGUUAAGUCUGCUGUGAAAUCCCCGGGCUCAACCUGGGAAUGGCAGUGGAUACUGGCUCGCUAGAGUGUGUCAGAGGAUGGUGGAAUUCCCGGUGUAGCGGUGAAAUGCGUAGAGGUCGGGAGGAACAUCAGUGGCGAAGGCGGCCAUCUGGGACAACACUGACGCUGAGGCACGAAAGCGUGGGGAGCAAACAGGAUUAGAUACCCGAGUAGUCCCUGUCUCUUAUAC
rnacentral:rRNA from 1 species